rnacentral:rRNA from 2 species
GAUUUCUGACUUGGUGCGCGCUGUCCGCUGCGGCUACGUAGCGAGUGCAGUUGCGCGCCUGUCAUACUUCUGGGAUCGGUUCUGCCCUUCACUGGGUGGAGCUGCUUUCCAGAUCUUUUACUUUGAAAAAAUUAGAGUGUUUAAAGCAGGCUCGCGCUAUGAAUACAUUAGCAUGGAAUAAUAAUUUAGGACUUCUGUUCUAUUUUGUUGGUUUCUAGGAUGGAAGUAAUGAUUGAUAGGGAUAGUUGGGGGUGCUAGUAUUCCGCGGCCAGAGGUGAAAUUCUUGGAUUCGCGGAAGACUAACUUAUGCGAAAGCAUU